GUUUUGCCCUCCUUGCUUAUUUGCUUGACCUCAUCUGGUAUUGUAUGGUCCUUUUGGUAGCUACAGGUUGUUAGGAUCUUGUCUCGAUAGGAGGGAGUUAGCCGUCCAUAUCUGUGCACUCACAAGCUUCGCGACAGCUUUUUAUUUAAUUUAAGUACAAAAUUACACUUCAAUAUGAGUAUUUCAGUUAAUUAUAGUCACAUGCUUUGUGGUUUUGGAGAGGGAGAAUUGAAAAAGGAUAAUUGAAUUCACAGCAUGGUCGGUAGGCGUCCUUUGGAGAUUGGUUUGGGUUUGUGCUUCACAAUUUCAACCGUGUAUUACAGAAUGCACUCAUCACCCACAGUGAAAAACAUUCCAUGGCUCCCUUUGAAAAGAAAUUAAGUUGCUGUGGCAAGCUAAUAAUGUUUAUCGAUGUUCUAUUGGAUGCUACAUAUGAAAAGUACAUAAUAUUCAGCAACUCUCUGUUUGUACAUGUUUAUGACGCUGUUGUUGGGUGAAACAGGAAGUUUUUUUAUGUUGUGCAUUUAUUUUCUAUGUGAUCUCCACCUUUUCUUUUGAUCAAGCUUGUUCGAGAGGGUCUCAUGAAUUUUUAUUGUGCCCUAGCUUGUUUGACCUGAGCAAGUUAUUGGUAUAUGUACCUGCAGGCGGAGCAGCGGGUGGGGGAGCGAAAUCAGGCGAUGGCCAGCAAGUCAAGGCCGUCACGACGGCCGGUGGCGCAACACGUGACUAUGGCGGACCAGGUGCUGCAUGAGGGGCUGCCGCUGUCGCGUGCUGCCAGAACAAGCAGCAGGGGAGCUUCCACUUGGCGCGUGCGUCUCCUUCCUUUGGCAGAAGUAGCAGAUAAUGUCGAGAGCCGAUGACGACAUGGUGAUGGAGGCGGUGGACUCGGAGGUGUCGGUGACAUGCACGGACAUGGGGCUGGUCCAGAAGGCGUUCCAGGCCCUGCUGUGCACCAAGUGGCACCCCAUUGACCUGCCGACAAUGCACGAGGUGGCCCGGGUGCUGCUCUCGCUCAUGCCGGCCCCUGCCCUCCAGGUCCCAUCCACAUGCAUGCUCCCUCUUCAUCUCAGAUAUUGGAUUGAAGUAGGGAAAAACCAUCCUCCAUAUUGUGUGCUGAUUAUCUGUAUUAUGUGUAGAGAACAAUCAUGGUGUCUAUUUCUGCUUGAUGCCCCACAUUUCACUAAUAACAUGCCCAACUUCCUGCUCUAUAGGAAAUAAGUACAUGAUUGUUUAUCCUCCUGUAUAACAGUUUAAGUUUGUGACCUGAUCUUGUGCUUCUGGUAACUAGUCCAAUUUGCGUACUUUUAACUGUCUUUUGAUGUGGUGGUGCCAAACAAAACUCAUAUGCUUAUGCCGAGCUUACUUUUAAUCUUGUGAACAUGAUAAUGUAGAGGAUGUACUGUAGUUCCACUCAUUUUAUUCUCUCUAAUGAGCUUAUUUUUUAUUGAAGCCACCUUCUUGUUUACUUUGCUGAAUCAGGUCUUGUGUACUAAUCAUGAGUUACUAGCAUUUGGCUUCUCUGUGGUAAUUAAACUUGAUAAAUCUAUGUACUUGUGUACUUCUUUGAGAUACAAAUUCCACAUUGCAUGUUUACGAGGUCCAAUUUCUAUAGAUGUUGCCAAAUAUUGGUGUCAACGUGUCUUUCCUUAGGGGGUGAUUUAAACCGCAUAUGAUCUAC